AUGGCAAGUAGAUAUUCAAAAACCUCACCUACCACGUAUCAGCUGAAAGGCCUAAAAUCCAACUCCCAACUCCAACUGCUCUUCAAUGAUUUUGCUUCUCAAGCCAGUGUGCCACAAGUCACAGGGCCCACGGUGUCCAGCUUCAAUAGAACUGUGCUGGACAGGAAGCCCAGGGGUUCCAAGAGCAACAGGGACCUGGCUUGGAGCAAUACCAAUUUUGGCUGCAAAAUCACCUCCAACCAGGCCUAUUCCAGCUCAGGAGUUCCCUGUGAUGCCAAGUUGGUAGAGAAAAACUUUGAGACAGACAUGAACCUGAACUUCCAAAGCCUGUCACUGACUGGGCUCUGCAUCCUCCUGCUGACAGUGUCCGGGUUUACCUGCUCCUGGUGCUGUGGCUGA